rnacentral:rRNA from 1 species
CCUUCCGCGGGGGACAACAGUCCGAAAGGAUUGCUAAUACCGCAUACGUCGGCGAGGUCUACGGACUUUGUCGGGAAAGAUGGCCUCUCCUUGGAAGCUGUCACCGGAAGAUGAGCCCGCGUCCCAUCAGCUAGUUGGCGAGGUAAUGGCUCACCAAGGCUUAGACGGGUAGCUGGUCUGAGAGGAUGAUCAGCCACACUGGGACUGCGACACGGCCCAG